GACGAACGCUGGCGGCGUGCUUAACACAUGCAAGUCGAACGGAAAGGCCCUGCUUUUGUGGGGUGCUCGAGUGGCGAACGGGUGAGUAACACGUGAGUAACCUGCCCUUGACUUUGGGAUAACUUCAGGAAACUGGGGCUAAUACCGGAUAGGAGCUCCUGCUGCAUGGUGGGGGUUGGAAAGUUUCGGCGGUUGGGGAUGGACUCGCGGCUUAUCAGCUUGUUGGUGGGGUAGUGGCUUACCAAGGCUUUGACGGGUAGCCGGCCUGAGAGGGUGACCGGCCACAUUGGGACUGAGAUACGGCCCAGACGCCUACGGGAGGCAGCAGUGGGGAAUAUGGCACAAUGGGCGGAAGCCUGAUGCAGCAACGCCGCGUGCGGGAUGACGGCCUUCGGGUUGUAAACCGCUUUCGCCGGUGACGAAGCGUGAGUGACGGUAAUGGGUAAAGAAGCACCGGCUAACUACGUG
rnacentral:rRNA from 1 species